UACAGCUGUAUCAGGCCAGGCGUGGUGACUCAUGCCUGUAAUCCCAGCACUUUGGGAGACCGAGGAGGGCGAUCGAGACCAUCCUGACUAACAUGGUGAAACCCCAUCUCUUCUAAAAAUACAAAAAAUUAGCCAGACUUGGUGGUGUACGCCUGUAGUCCCAGCUACUCAGGGGGCUGAGGCAGGAGAAUCGCUUGAACCCAGGAGGUGGAGGUUGCAGUGAGCUGAGAUCGCGCCACUGCACUCCAGCUUGGGCGACAGAGCGAGACUCCAUCUAAAAAAUACAGCUGUAUCAAAUCUGCUUGUGCUUUGGCCAUCUGAGAGAUCUUAAGUGUGCAAUGCAAUGAGGAUGGAGCAACGUAUACACCAAUCAAGAGAAAGAACAUGUCCAUUACCCCAAAAAGUUCUCUUACACCCGCUUCCAGGUGAUGCCCCUGGCAACCAUGAGUUUGGCUUGUAGCAUCAAGACUUUACCUGUUCUUGAAUUUCAAUAUAUGGAACCAGGCAGGAGCAUAAUUCAGCUUCUUUGAUUCACAGUUCUUGAGAUUCAUUCAUGCUGUUGUUUGUAUCAGUAGUCCGUAUAUUUUUUAAAUUAGUGAAUCAUAUUCCAUUAUGUAAACGUACCACAACUUCUCACAUUAUUCUGUUGAUGGACACACGACCUUUUCCAGUUUGGGUUGUUAUGGGAAAAGCAACUGUAAACAUUCUUAAGACUUUUUGUGGGCACUAUUGUUUGUUUUUGGUAAAUACCUACUAACAGCGGAAUUGCUGGAUCUUAGGGUUGGUGUAAGUUUACAUUUCUCAGAAACUGCUGAACUGCUUUCCAAAGUAACAUUUUGCACGUAUGAGAGUCUUAAUUCCUCCACAACCACUCCAACAUUGGGUGGUAUUGAUCCAUUUGAUGUUAGCCAUUGGAGUAGUAUGAAAUGCUUUUUGUGAAUGUAAUUUUGGUUUAGCUCAUGAACAAUGGUAUUGACCAUACUUUCAUGUGUUUAGUGGCCACUGGUAUAUUUUCUUUUUGAAACAUAUGUCUAAGUAUUUUGCCUAUUUAAUUUUGAAUUUUUUUCUUUUUACUGAGCUGUAAGAAUUACAUAAAUUCUGGAUCUAUGAUAAUCCUCAAGUAUACAUAUUCCAAAUAUUUUCUUUUACAAUGUGGUUUACAUUAUCAUUUGUUUAAUCAUAUAUUAUGAACAGAAUUUUUAAAAAAUCACAUCCAAUUAAUCAAAUUUUUCCUUUUAUGUUGAGUCCAUUUUGUGGACUAAAUAUCAUUGCUAUACCAAAGUCCUGAGGUUAUGCUCUAAUAUUUUCCUCUAGCAGCUCUCUAAUGUUAACUUUUAUAUUUAAGGCAGUGAUCCAUCUUAAAUUGAUGUUUUGGUGAUUUGUUAUGUAUUCUUGACAAAAUGAGCCUUUUAAUAUGUUUUUUAAGUCUUUCAUAAUCUCUGGUAAUAUUUCCAAUCUUGAAUUCAAUUUCAUCUGAUAUUAAUCUAAUUCUACCAGCUUCCUCAUUCUUACUUUUGUAUGCUAUAUCUUUCCUCCAUCUUUACACAGUUCUUUAUCUGAGACUUUAUAUUAUGUAGCUGAACCUGAUUUUUUUAUCUCAUCUUCCAGUCUCUGCUUUUUAACUGGAGUAUUCGGUCUAUUUAUAUUUAAGACAAUUACUGAUAUGAUUGGUCGUAGUUCUUCCGCCUUGCAAUGCAUUUUCAUUUUGUCUCGUGUGUCUUUUAUUCCUUUGUUUCUCACUUCCUAUAUUAUUUUGGGUCAGAUUAUUGCUAUUAGAAUUCCAAUUCAAUACUUUGAUUGAAUUUUGUUUCAAUAUUUAGUUAAACUGAAAUCUGUACUUGUACUGAAUUAAAAGUAGGACAGUAGAAAUAGUCCAAACCAAACGAGAAAAAUAUUUUAAAUUGUACUUUUUUAGUUAUACAUUAUAUUUCUUCUUAGUGGUUAUUUUAGGAAUUAAAAUAUGCAUUCUUAAUUUAUCACUGUCUGUUUAAAACCAUAAAUAUUACUUCACAUACAUUAUAGAAGCUGUCAGUGCAUAAAUUAACCUAUCUACCUGUGUUUUGCUAGUGUCAUAAUUUUUAUAAAGUAUUUGCUAUAAACUUCACAUUACAAUUAAAUCAUUUUUGCAUUAAAUAUCUAGUUUUAGAUAAAAUAAUAGAGGAAAAAAUACCAUCUUUUACAUCUGCCCACAUGUUUCUUAUUUUAUUUUUAUAUUUUUGAGGAAGUCUUUCUCUGUGGUCCACGCUGGAGUGCAGUGGUGCAAUCUCAGCUCAUUGCAACCUUCGCCUCCCAGGUUCAAGAGAUUCUCGUGCCCCAGCCCCUCGAGUAGCUGGGAUUACAAGUGUGUGCCACCACACACGGCUAAAUUUUGUAUUUUUAGUAGAGAUGGGGUUUUGUGAUGUUGGCCAGCCUGGUCUCAAACUCCUGGCCUCAAGUGAUCCUCCCCCAGUGACCUCCCAAAGUUCUGGGAUUACAGGCUUGAGCCACCCUGCCAGUUGCAUCUACCUACGUAUUUCUGUUCUUUCCUGUAGAUGUACAUUUCCAUCUGAUAUCAUUUUCCUUCAUGCUGAAAAUGUUUUAUGGCACAGGUCUACUGGUAAUUAAUCUUUUUCAGAUUUUAUUUAUCUUAAAAGUCUUCAUUUCAAAUUCAUGUUCUGCUUGAUAUAGACUUCUCAGUUAAUGAGUCUGAGUCUGUGUGCAUGUGUGUAUAUGAGUGUGGAAUGCUGAUUUCCAGAGUUGUGCAUUAUUUUCUGAUCAGGGUUGUUCUGAUAUAUCCAUUCUGCUUUCAUAGAAAUCAUAACUCUUAGAGCACUAUUUAAAAAUAUUAAUAAUUCAAGAUAGCAUAAAUCAACCUUUAUUAUUAUUUUUCAAAUUCAUAUACUAGGCAGGAAGUAAAAAGAGAAUUAAAUGUACAUUUGAAACAAAAGUAUAUUUGUAAAAAAUCUUACAUUUACUAAAUUAUAAUGCCAAUAUAGAUGGCCAUUAAAUUAAUCCUUACACUGGAAUUGGUAUCCAGUUAACAAUAAUUCUCAUUAUUAUUUAUAUUGGCCUAAAUUCAUUUUAUCUUUGCAAAAUAAAAUUAUGGAAUUCUAAAACCAAUCAUUAGUUGACAGGGAAGGUUGUCAACAGAAAACUACAAUUCAUAAAUACAAACAUAUUUUAUUAUUAAGUAUCAUAAUAUAUCAUUUAUUUGGUUUUAGUUGAAUAAAACAAGUUACCCCAGGUUUCUUUGCAUGUAUGAAAGAAAAUAAAAAAUGUUAUGACAAUACAAAAUAU
rnacentral:lncRNA from 1 species